AACGAACGCUGGCGGCAUGCCUAACACAUGCAAGUCGAACGAGACCUUCGGGUCUAGUGGCGCACGGGUGCGUAACGCGUGGGAAUCUGCCCUGGGGUGCGGAAUAACUCGGAGAAAUCCGUGCUAAUACCGCAUAAUGUCUUCGGACCAAAGAUUUAUCGCCCUGGGAUGAGCCCGCGUAGGAUUAGCUAGUUGGUGGGGUAAAGGCCUACCAAGGCGACGAUCCUUAGCUGGUCUGAGAGGAUGAUCAGCCACACUGGGACUGAGACACGGCCCAGACUCCUACGGGAGGCAGCAGUGGGAAUAUUGGACAAUGGGCGAAAGCCUGAUCCAGCAAUGCCGCGUGAGUGAUGAAGGCCCUAGGUUGUAAAGCUCUUUUACCCGGGAUGAUAAUGACAGUACCGGAGAAUAAGCUCCGGCUAACUCCGUGCCAGCAGCCGCGGUAAU
rnacentral:rRNA from 1 species